rnacentral:rRNA from 1 species
CGUUGCACUAUCGUUAACUGAAUACAUAGGUUAACGAGGCGAACCGGGGGAACUGAAACAUCUAAGUACCCCGAGGAAAAGAAAUCAACCGAGAUUCCCCCAGUAGCGGCGAGCGAACGGGGAGCAGCCCGGAGUCUGAAUCAGCUUGUGUGUUAGUGGAACGGUCUGGAAAGUCCGACGGUACAGGGUGAUAGUCCCGUACACGAAAGCACACUUGCUGUGAACUCGAAGAGUAGGGCGGGACACGUGGUAUCCUGUCUGAAUAUGGGGGGACCAUCCUCCAAGGCUAAAUACUCCUGACUGACCGAUAGUGAACCAGUACCGUGAGGGAAAGGCGAAAAGAACCCCGGCGAGGGGAGUGAAAAAGAACCUGAAACCGUGUACGUACAAGCAGUGGGAGCCUCUUUAUGGGGUGACUGCGUACCUUUUGUAUAAUGGGUCAGCGACUUAUAUUCUGUAGCAAGGUUAACCGUAUAGGGGAGCCGAAGGGAAACCGAGUCUUAACUGGGCGUUAAGUUGCAGGGUAUAGACCCGAAACCCGGUGAUCUAGCCAUGGGCAGGUUGAAGGUUGGGUAACACUAACUGGAGGACCGAACCGACUAAUGUUGAAAAAUUAGCGGAUGACCUGUGGCUGGGGGUGAAAGGCCAAUCAAACCGGGAGAUAGCUGGUUCUCCCCGAAAGCUAUUUAGGUAGCGCCUCGUGAACUCAUCUUCGGGGGUAGAGCACUGUUUCGGCUAGGGGGCCAUCCCGGCUUACCAACCCGAUGCAAACUACGAAUACCGAAGAAUGUUAUCACGGGAGACACACGGCGGGUGCUAACGUCCGUCGUGAAGAGGGAAACAACCCAGACCGCCAGCUAAGGUCCCAAAGUCAUGGUUAAGUGGGAAACGAUGUGGGAAGGCACAGACAGCCAGGAUGUUGGCUUAGAAGCAGCCAUCAUUUAAAGAAAGCGUAAUAGCUCACUGGUCGAGUCGGCCUGCGCGGAAGAUGUAACGGGGCUAAACCAUGCACCGAAGCUGCGGCAGCGACGCUUAUGCGUUGUUGGGUAGGGGAGCGUUCUGUAAGCCGUUGAAGGUGUGCUGUGAGGCAUGCUGGAGGUAUCAGAAGUGCGAAUGCUGACAUAAGUAACGAUAAAGCGGGUGAAAAGCCCGCUCGCCGGAAGACCAAGGGUUCCUGUCCAACGUUAAUCGGGGCAGGGUGAGUCGACCCCUAAGGCGAGGCCGAAAGGCGUAGUCGAUGGGAAACAGGUUAAUAUUCCUGUACUUGGUGUUACUGCGAAGGGGGGACGGAGAAGGCUAUGUCAGCCGGGCGACGGUUGUCCCGGUUUAAGCAUGUAGGCGGAGGUUCCAGGUAAAUCCGGUACCUUAUUAACGCUGAGGUGUGAUGACGAGGCACUACGGUGCUGAAGUGAUAAAUGCCCUGCUUCCAGGAAAAGCCUCUAAGCAUCAGGUAACACGAAAUCGUACCCCAAACCGACACAGGUGGUCAGGUAGAGAAUACCAAGGCGCUUGAGAGAACUCGGGUGAAGGAACUAGGCAAAAUGGUGCCGUAACUUCGGGAGAAGGCACGCUGAUGUGUAGGUGAAGUCCCUGCGGAUGGAGCUGAAAUCAGUCGAAGAUACCAGCUGGCUGCAACUGUUUAUUAAAAACACAGCACUGUGCAAACACGAAAGUGGACGUAUACGGUGUGACGCCUGCCCGGUGCCGGAAGGUUAAUUGAUGGGGUUAGCGGCAACGCGAAGCUCUUGAUCGAAGCCCCGGUAAACGGCGGCCGUAACUAUAACGGUCCUAAGGUAGCGAAAUUCCUUGUCGGGUAAGUUCCGACCUGCACGAAUGGCGUAAUGAUGGCCAGGCUGUCUCCACCCGAGACUCAGUGAAAUUGAACUCGCUGUGAAGAUGCAGUGUACCCGCGGCAAGACGGAAAGACCCCGUGAACCUUUACUAUAGCUUGACACUGAACACUGGUCCUUGAUGUGUAGGAUAGGUGGGAGGCUUUGAAGCGUGGACGCCAGUCUGCGUGGAGCCNGACCCGUAAUCCGGGUUGCGGACAGUGUCUGGUGGGUAGUUUGACUGGGGCGGUCUCCUCCCAAAGAGUAACGGAGGAGCACGAAGGUUGGCUAAUCCUGGUCGGACAUCAGGAGGUUAGUGCAAUGGCAUAAGCCAGCUUGACUGCGAGCGUGACGGCGCGAGCAGGUGCGAAAGCAGGUCAUAGUGAUCCGGUGGUUCUGAAUGGAAGGGCCAUCGCUCAACGGAUAAAAGGUACUCCGGGGAUAACAGGCUGAUACCGCCCAAGAGUUCAUAUCGACGGCGGUGUUUGGCACCUCGAUGUCGGCUCAUCACAUCCUGGGGCUGAAGUAGGUCCCAAGGGUAUGGCUGUUCGCCAUUUAAAGUGGUACGCGAGCUGGGUUUAGAACGUCGUGAGACAGUUCGGUCCCUAUCUGCCGUGGGCGCUGGAGAAUUGAGGGGGGCUGCUCCUAGUACGAGAGGACCGGAGUGGACGCAUCACUGGUGUUCGGGUUGUCAUGCCAAUGGCACUGCCCGGUAGCUAAAUGCGGAAGAGAUAAGUGCUGAAAGCAUCUAAGCACGAAACUUGCCCCGAGAUGAGUUCUCCCUGAGACUUUAAGUCUCCUGAAGGAACGUUGAAGACGACGACGUUGAUAGGUCGGGUGUGUAAGCGCAGCGAUGCGUUGAGCUAACCGAUACUAAUGAACCGUGAGGCUUAACC